CCUACGGGGGGCAGCAGUGGGGAAUAUUGCACAAUGGGGGAAACCCUGAUGCAGCAACGCCGCGUGAAUGAAGACGGUUUUCGGAUUGUAAACUUCUGUUCUUAGUGAAGAAUAAUUACGGUAGCUAAGGAGCAAGCCACGGCUAACUACGUGCAAGCAGCAGCGGUAAUACGUAGGUGGCAAGCGUUGGUCGGAAUUACUGGGUGUAAAGGGAGCGCAGGCGGGAAGCCAAGUCAGCUGUGAAAACUACGGGAUUAACUUGUAGAAUGCAGUUGAAACUGGUUUUCUUGAGUGAAGUAGAGGUGGGCGGAAUUCCGAGUGUAGCGGUGAAAUGCGUAGAUAUUCGGAGGAACACCGAUGGCGAAGGCGGCCAACUGGGCUUUAACUGACGCUGAGGCUCGAAAGUGUGGGGAGCAAACAGGAUUAGAGACCCUGGUAGUC
rnacentral:rRNA from 1 species